GCAGCAGAAGCAAACCGAGAGGUGAACCAGCAGCCUCCAAUAAAAGCCAGCACAUCCAAAUAAAACCGAGAGACCUCCGCUCCUCUUCUCCCUCCUCGCCUACUACCUGCACUAAGCGGACGGACGGACGGACGCGCGCAUGGCAUUGGCAUGCAUGGACUGUUGAACAUCUAUGCAUGCAUGGACGACGUCACUUGCAACGCUGUUCCCAUAUAGUACUACUGGUCUGCUAUGAAUAUCUAUGCAUGCAUGGUAACGGGUUGUGUUAUUUAAUUAUUAUUAUUACGUAGACAUUACUAUUUAAAAUUCAUGUGUUCGCGUCAAGUCGUUCUGUAAUCUUGUGAUGGAAUAUAUAUGAUAUUUCCUU
rnacentral:lncRNA from 7 species